rnacentral:rRNA from 1 species
GACGAACGCUGGCGGCGUGCUUAACACAUGCAAGUCGAACGGAAAGGCCCUGCUUUUGUGGGGUGCUCGAGUGGCGAACGGGUGAGUAACACGUGAGUAACCUGCCCUUGACUUUGGGAUAACUUCAGGAAACUGGGGGUAAUACCGGAUAGGAGCUCCUGCUGCAUGGUGGGGGUUGGAAAGUUUCGGCGGUUGGGGAUGGACUCGCGGCUUAUCAGCUUGUUGGUGGGGGAGUGGCUUACCAAGGCUUUGACGGGUAGCCGGCCUGAGAGGGUGACAGGCCACAUUGGGACUGAGAUACGGCCCAGACUCCUACGGGAGGCAGCAGUGGGGAAUAUUGCACAAUGGGCGGAAGCCUGAUGCAGCAACGCCGCGUGCGGGAUGACGGCCUUCGGGUUGUAAACCGCUUUCGCCUGUGACGAAGCGUGAGUGACGGUAAUGGGUAAAGAAGCACCGGCUAACUACGUG